AUUGAACGCUGGCGGCAUGCCUUACACAUGCAAGUCGAACGGCAGCACGGAGCUUGCUCUGGUGGCGAGUGGCGAACGGGUGAGUAAUAUAUCGGAACGUACCCUAGAGUGGGGGAUAACGUAGCGAAAGUUACGCUAAUACCGCAUACGAUCUAAGGAUGAAAGUGGGGGAUCGCAAGACCUCAUGCUCGUGGAGCGGCCGAUAUCUGAUUAGCUAGUUGGUAGGGUAAAAGCCUACCAAGGCAUCGAUCAGUAGCUGGUCUGAGAGGACGACCAGCCACACUGGAACUGAGACACGGUCCAGACUCCUACGGGAGGCAGCAGUGGGGAAUUUUGGACAAUGGGCGAAAGCCUGAUCCAGCAAUGCCGCGUGAGUGAAGAAGGCCUUCGGGUUGUAAAGCUCUUUUGUCAGGGAAGAAACGGUGAAAGCUAAUAUCUUUUGCUAAUGACGGUACCUGAAGAAUAAGCACCGGCUAACUACGUGCCAGCAGCCGCGGUAAUACGUAGGGUGCAAGCGUUAAUCGGAAUUACUGGGCGUAAAGCGUGCGCAGGCGGUUUUGUAAGUCUGAUGUGAAAUCCCCGGGCUCAACCUGNGAAUUGCAUCGGAGACUGCAAGGCUAGAAUCUGGCAGAGGGGGGUAGAAUUCCACGUGUAGCAGUGAAAUGCGUAGAUAUGUGGAGGAACACCGAUGGCGAAGGCAGCCCCCUGGGUCAAGAUUGACGCUCAUGCACGAAAGCGUGGGGAGCAAACAGGAUUAGAUACCCUGGUAGUCCACGCCCUAAACGAUGUCUACUAGUUGUCGGGUCUUAAUUGACUUGGUAACGCAGCUAACGCGUGAAGUAGACCGCCUGGGGAGUACGGUCGCAAGAUUAAAACUCAAAGGAAUUGACGGGGACCCGCACAAGCGGUGGAUGAUGUGGAUUAAUUCGAUGCAACGCGAAAAACCUUACCUACCCUUGACAUGGCUGGAAUCCUUGAGAGAUCAGGGAGUGCUCAAAAGAGAACCAGUACACAGGUGCUGCAUGGCUGUCGUCAGCUCGUGUCGUGAGAUGUUGGGUUAAGUCCCGCAACGAGCGCAACCCUUGUCAUUAGUUGCUACGAAAGGGCACUCUAAUGAGACUGCCGGUGACAAACCGGAGGAAGGUGGGAUGACGUCAAGUCCUCAUGGCCCUUAUGGGUAGGGCUUCACACGUCAUACAAUGGUACAUACAGAGCGCCGCCAACCCGCGAGGGGGAGCUAAUCGCAGAAAGUGUAUCGUAGUCCGGAUUGUAGUCUGCAACUCGACUGCAUGAAGUUGGAAUCGCUAGUAAUCGCGGAUCAGCAUGUCGCGGUGAAUACGUUCCCGGGUCU
rnacentral:rRNA from 1 species